rnacentral:tRNA from 1 species
ACUCAAGAAGCUUAAGAUUAGAGCAUAACAUUGAAGAUGUUAGGGUAAUGGUUUAUUUUUGAAUA